AAGAGUUUUCUCUUGCCAUCUUUGCAGUCUCUCCACUCCUGACGUGUACAGGGUCAGAUUUCUGUUGGCUGCUGUGGCAAAUGUCACACACUUAGUGACUUCAAAUAACCCAGAUGUAUCAUCUGACAGGGUGGAGAUGGCCCCAGUGAGAUGAACCUGGUAUCUCAGUUGGAAAUGCAGAAAUCACCCGUCUUCUGCGUCGCUCACGCUGGGAGCUGUAGACUGGAGCUGUUCCUAUUCGGCCAUCUUCCGCUUUAAGUUUUUUAUAAUCUUUUUGGGAAGGAAAGGCCAUGUGAAAACAUGGCGAGAAGACAGUCAUCUGCAACCCAAGGAGAGAGACUUCACCAGACACUGACCCUGCUGGCACCUUGAUCUUGGACUUCCAGUGUUCAGAACUAUAAGAAAUAAAUUCCUGUUAUGUAA
rnacentral:lncRNA from 10 species